UGGGGAAUAUUGGACAAUGGAGGAAACUCUGAUCCAGCAAUUCUGUGUGUGUGAAGAAGGUUUUAGGACUGUAAAACACUUUUAGUAGGGAAGAAAAAAAUGACGGUACCUACAGAAGAAGCAACGGCUAAAUACGUGCCAGCAGCCGCGGUAAUACGUAUGUUGCGAGCGUUAUCCGGAAUUAUUGGGCUUAAAGGGCAUCUAGGCGGUAAGACAAGUUGAAGGUGAAAACCUGUGGCUCAACCAUAGGCUUGCCUACAAAACUGUUGAACUAGAGUACUGGAAAGGUGGGUGGAACUACACGAGUAGAGGUGAAAUUCGUAGAUAUGUGUAGGAAUGCCGAUGAUGAAGAUAACUCACUGGACAGAAACUGACGCUGAAGUGCGAAAGCUAGGGGAGCAAACAGC
rnacentral:rRNA from 1 species